rnacentral:rRNA from 1 species
UACGGAGGGUGCAAGCGUUAAUCGGAAUUACUGGGCGUAAAGCGUGCGUAGGUGGUUGAUUAAGUUAUCUGUGAAAUCCCUGGGCUUAACCUGGGCAGGUCAGAUGAUACUGAUUGACUCGAGUAUGGGAGAGGGUAGUGGAAUUUCCGGUGUAGCGGUGAAAUGCGUAGAGAUCGGAAGGAACACCAGUGGCGAAGGCGGCUACCUGGCCUAAUACUGACACUGAGGCACGAAAGCGUGGGGAGCAAACAGG